GUCACUUCUCGGCCUUUUGGCUAAGAUCAAGUGUAGUACCCUCCCAAUUUAACAGAGAUGUUCUGAUGUGAAGCAUGACAAACUAUGGAGGACAUUUUAAAAAAAAUCAUCUGAAUGAAGUGCUUGUUUUCUCAGGCCUGUCAGACGCCAGCUCACAUUGCAGGUAUGAAUGAAUUAAACACAACAGAGGCCUCCUCU